UGAUCUUCUGGGUCAUUGUAAACUCCUUAACAUGAAGUCACAGACAGUUCCCUUGGGAACUCUAAUCUAUCUUACCGCUGAGGUAAACUUACCUUUCUGAUAGAUGGUCCCGUACAUCAAAGAUCACAGCAAUAUUCAGGUUACUCCCAGUCCCAAAGGACCAGUCACUUACCCCAGGUCAAUUGCACCUUAGAUCUCACACCAAAGACAACACUUGUAAUCAAUCCUAAAA